rnacentral:rRNA from 1 species
UACGGGAGGCAGCAGUGGGGAAUAUUGCACAAUGGGCGAAAGCCUGAUGCAGCGACGCCGCGUGAGGGAUGACGGCNUUCGGGUUGUAAACCUCUUUCAGCACGGAAGAAGCGAAAGUGACGGUACGUGCAGAAGAAGCGCCGGCUAACUACGUGCCAGCAGCCGCGGUAAUACGUAGGGCGCAAGCGUUGUCCGGAAUUAUUGGGCGUAAAGAGCUCGUAGGCGGUUUGUCGCGUCUGCUGUGAAAGCCCGGGGCUUAACCCCGGGUGUGCAGUGGGUACGGGCAGACUUGAGUGCAGUAGGGGAGACUGGAAUUCCUGGUGUAGCGGUGAAAUGCGCAGAUAUCAGGAGGAACACCGAUGGCGAAGGCAGGUCUCUGGGCUGUUACUGACGCUGAGGAGCGAAAGCAUGGGGAGCGAACAGGAUUAGAUACCCUGGUAGUCCAUGCCGUAAACGUUGGGCACUAGGUGUGGGGA